CUUUUUUCCUUUUGAAAAUCCAUUUACAUUUUAUGUAUUUAAUCCCUUCGAGUGGAUCAACCAGUGUCCAUAUACUAUUGAUCUCUAUAGACUUCAUCUCGAAUUUCAUGGCAUCAAGCUAUUUUUGAGAGUCAUGCCUUUGCAUAGUAUCCAUGUAGGUGAUUGAAUCCUCGUCGUUCUCAUCUAUUUCGACAGUGUCACCAUCCCAGACCAAGAAACUAUAAUAUCUAUCCGGUUGAUGCGGUACUCUACUGGAUCUCAUUGAUGAUGCCUCUACAGGC
rnacentral:lncRNA from 1 species